rnacentral:lncRNA from 1 species
GCGACACCCCCACCGUGCGGCGUAGACCCCAUAGAGGCUUCAGCCCCAUCAUGCGGUGCAGCCUCCAGCUUCCGGCCCAAAGAACCCUCAACCGCUGCCCAUGACUCCAUGGAAGUGACACCCCCAGCGUGCAGCGUAGACCCCACGGAGGCUUCAGCCCCAUCAUGCGGUGCAGCCUGCAGCUUCCGGCCCGAAGAACCCUCAACCGCUGCCCAUGACUCCAUGGGACCGACAACCCAACCGUGCGGCGCAG